rnacentral:rRNA from 1 species
UGGGGAAUAUUGCGCAAUGGGCGAAAGCCUGACGCAGCAACGCCGCGUGAGUGAUGAAGGCCUUCGGGUCGUAAAGCUCUGUCGGGAGGAACGAAUGCUCCUGAGGUUAACAGCCUCGGGAGGUGACGGUACCUUCAAAGGAAGCACCGGCUAACUCUGUGCCAGCAGCCGCGGUAAUACAGAGGGUGCAAGCGUUGUUCGGAUUUACUGGGCGUAAAGGGCGGGUAGGCGGCCACCGCAAGUCAGUUGUGAAAUCUCCGGGCUUAACCCGGAAAGGUCAACUGAUACUGCGGGGCUAGAGUGCAGAAGGGGCAACUGGAAUUCUCGGUGUAGCGGUGAAAUGCGUAGAUAUCGAGAGGAACACCUGCGGCGAAGGCGGGUUGCUGGGCUGACACUGACGCUGAACUGCGAAAGCUAGGGGAGCGAAC